rnacentral:rRNA from 1 species
GAUGAACGCUGGCGGCGUGCCUAAUACAUGCAAGUCGAGCGAACAGACGAGGAGCUUGCUCCUCUGACGUUAGCGGCGGACGGGUGAGUAACACGUGGAUAACCUACCUAUAAGACUGGGAUAACUUCGGGAAACCGGAGCUAAUACCGGAUAAUAUAUUGAACCGCAUGGUUCAAUAGUGAAAGACGGUUUUGCUGUCACUUAUAGAUGGAUCCGCGCCGCAUUAGCUAGUUGGUAAGGUAACGGCUUACCCAGGCAACGAUGCGUAGCCGACCUGAGAGGGUGAUUGGCCAGCCUGGAACUGAGACACGUUCGAGACUCCUACGGUAGGCAGCAGUAGGGAAUCUUCCGCAAUGGGCGAAAGCCUGACGGAGCAACGCCGCGUGAGUGAUGAAGUUCUUCGGAUCGUAAAACUCUGUUAUUAGGGAAGAACAAAUGUGUAAGUAACUAUGCACGUCUUGACGGUACCUAAUCAGAAAGCCACGGCUAACUACGUG